rnacentral:rRNA from 1 species
UACGGGGGGGGGCAAGCGUUGUUCGGAAUUACUGGGCGUAAAGGGCUCGUAGGUGGCCAACUAAGUCGGACGUGAAAUCCCUCGGCUUAACCGGGGAACUGCGUCUGAUACUGGAUGGCUUGAGUUCGGGAGAGGGAUGCGGAAUUCCAGGUGUAGCGGUGAAAUGCGUAGAUAUCUGGAGGAACACCGGUGGCGAAGGCGGCAUCCUGGACCGACACUGACGCUGAGGAGCGAAAGCCAGGGGGAGCAAAACGGG